AUUGAACGCUGGCGGCAGGCCUAACACAUGCAAGUCGAGCGAGUGGCGGACGGGUGAGUAAUGUAUGGGAAACUGCCUGAUGGAGGGGGAUAACUACUGGAAACGGUAGCUAAUACCGCAUACCAUCAGAAGUUCCCAGAUGGGAUUAGCUAGUAGGUGGGGUAAUGGCUCACCUAGGCGACGAUCCCUAGCUGGUCUGAGUGGAUGACCAGCCACACUGGAACUGAGGCACGGUCCAGACUCCUACGGGAGGCAGCAGUGGGGAAUAUUGCACAAUGGGCGCAGGCCUGAUGCAGCCAUGCCGCGUGUAUGAAGAAGGCCUUCGGGUUGUAGAGUACUUUCAGCGAGGAGGCGUUACUCGCAGAAGAAGCACCGGCUAACUCCGUGCCAGCAGCCGCGGUAAUUC
rnacentral:rRNA from 1 species